rnacentral:rRNA from 1 species
UACGUAGGGGGCAAGCGUUGUCCGGAUUUAUUGGGCGUAAAGAGCGUGUAGGCGGCCAUACAGGUCCGUUGUGAAAACUGGAGGCUUAACCUCCAGACGUCGAUGGAAACCGUAUGGCUAGAGUCCGGAAGAGGAGAGUGGAAUUCCUGGUGUAGCGGUGAAAAUGCGCAGAUAUCAGGAAGAACACCCGUGGCGAAGGCGG